CACCAGACUCCUACGGGAGGCAGCAGUGGGGGAUAUUGCACAAUGGGGGGAACCCUGAUGCAGCGACGCCGCGUGGGUGAAGAAGUAUUUCGGUAUGUAAAGCCCUAUCGGCAGGGAAGAAAUUGGACGGUACCUGACUAAGAAGCCCCGGCUAACUACGUGCCAGCAGCCGCGGUAAUACGUAGGGGGCAAGCGUUAUCCGGAUUCACUGGGUGUAAAGGGAGCGUAGACGGCCAUGCAAGCCUGGAGUGAAAGCCCGGGGCCCAACCCCGGGACUGCUCUGGGAACUGUGCGGCUGGAGUGCGGGAGGGGCAGGCGGAAUUCCUGGUGUAGCGGUGAAAUGCGUAGAUAUCAGGAGGAACACCGGCGGCGAAGGCGGCCUGCUGGACCGCGACUGACGUUGAGGCUCGAAAGCGUGGGGAGCAAACAGGAUUAGAUACCCCCGUACCG
rnacentral:rRNA from 1 species